rnacentral:rRNA from 1 species
UACGUAGGGGGCUAGCGUUGUCCGGAAUCAUUGGGCGUAAAGGGCGCGUAGGUGGCCCGCUCAGCGUGCGGUGAAAGCCUGGGCUCAACCCCGGGUCGGCCGUGCGAACUGGUGGGCUGGAGCACUGUAGAGGCAGGCGGAAUUCCGGGUGUAGCGGUGGAAUGCGUAGAGAUCCGGAAGAACACCGGUGGCGAAGGCGGCCUGCUGGGCAGUGGCUGACACUGAGGCGCGACAGCGUGGGGAGCAAACAGG